AACGAACGCUGGCGGCAGGCUUAACACAUGCAAGUCGAGCGCCCCGCCAGGGGAGCGGCAGACGGGUGAGUAACGCGUGGGAACGUACCUUUUGGUUCGGAACAACUCCGGGAAACUGGAGCUAAUACCGGAUAAGCCCUAACGGGGAAAGAUUUAUCGCCGAAAGAUCGGCCCGCGUCUGAUUAGCUAGUUGGUGAGGUAACGGCUCACCAAGGCGACGAUCAGUAGCUGGGCUGAGAGGAUGAUCAGCCACACUGGGACUGAGACACGGCCCAGACUCCUACGGGAGGCAGCAGUGGGGAAUAUUGGACAAUGGGCGCAAGCCUGAUCCAGCCAUGCCGCGUGAGUGAUGAAGGCCUUAGGGUUGUAAAGCUCUUUUGUCCGGGAAGAUAAUGACUGUACCGGAAGAAUAAGCCCCGGCUAACUUCGUG
rnacentral:rRNA from 1 species